rnacentral:piRNA from 1 species
GACAAGUUCACGUUGUCCAAUUUUGAGGUC